GGACAUAGGAAUAUUUAGGCAUGCAAAACUUGGAGGUUCAGUGUUGCUGUAAGAAUUAAAUGAAUUAAAUGGUCGCACUUCCCUGUUCUCUACACUACCAUCACGUUGUUAAAGACUGAAGUAUUAAAUAAUCUCCAUGACCUGACCACUUUGAAAUAAACUUACGAUGGGGUUUCUUAACAAAUCCUGGCUUGCUUUUGUUCUCUGUCGUCUUGCAACUUCCAUAAUUACCCCUAACAGAUUCAGAAGAUUAAGUGACCGGUAGUUUAAUGACCCUGCGAUAGUUGGGAUGCCCUUUACACGGGCAGGACAUUUGCUUUGCAUUACUUUCAUGCAUUGUUUGGCAUUUAUGGCUAUUCCAAGCGUGGCUAUUGCUGAUGAGGUCACUCAGAAGCUGUUGCUGCAUGCAGCUUUUCUAUGGCACCUUUCUUUUCUCAUUUAUGCAUUUUGUGGUUUCUUCUAGUAAAGUGAUACUAUUAGGAUUGUCGUUUAUAUUAGUUACGCUCAAGUCUUAACCACUAUGACCUGUUUCUGUCUCUUGAAUUAAUAUAAAAGACAGUAAGAAGUGGGGUGUUGUUCAACCAAAAAGAAAAGAAGUGGUCGGGCAUUGUUGUUUAUCACAAGGUUUUUCUUGAACUUGUGAAUUCUCCUCUUUUCUUCUCUAAGAGUCUCUUUCAACUUUGACAAUGAAUUCCCUUUCAGUUACUGGUAAAGAAAAUGCAAAGAAGCAUGUAGAUAUCCAUUCAUGCUUUUAUUGCAAAAAAGUGUUCAGCAAUCAUCAGGCUCUUGGGGGCCAUCUUAGGGUUCAUCAAGGGGAGAUAAAGUCAAGGAAGAGAUGGAAUUCUUCUGGUGUUUCCAGUAAUUCUAUUGACAUUACUGGCACCCACGUUAAUCCCCUCACCAACCUCCAACCUGAGACUUCCUCUGGGGAAGCUAGGAAAAUUCUGCCUUUCUUCAACUGGGAAGCUUCUCCUUUCGGCUUCUAUAAGAGGUGCUACUUGCAUGAGAACAGCCUGGCAAAUACUAGCAAGUUCUUUGGAAACAAUCUUGCAAAUGGUGAAUCUCACCUUAUCAUGUCUCCAAAUCUUUCUUCUACUAGUGGCAGUGCUGAAAUCCAUCAGCCAAGUUGCUUUAUCAUGACAGCAAUUACUCCAUUUAGAAAUGGAACCCCAUCCUCGAACACCUUUGCUUCCCCUGUAGCCAUUGGAUUCCCUUCUGAUCCUUCAUUUUGUUCAGGAAACAGUGAAGUCUGUCACUUUAAUUUUGAUGAGUGCCGAACCUGGAGGGAUGCUAUCCCUUUCAUCUCUGAAAAUGCCUUGCAGAACCUUGAGUAUUAUUAUCUUAGUAAGUUUUCAUAUCCUGCAUUUUCUAGAACGAAUACACAUCCAGGUCUUGGCUCAAAUCAAUUUUCUGGCUUUGGCUUUAGUGCCUUUCCUUGGGCUCCAUGUCAAUGUUUAGGCCAAAAAAGAGCUGAUCAGUGUGACAGGAGAAAUGCCUUGAAUUGUGAAGGGAAUAA
rnacentral:misc_RNA from 1 species